CCUACGGGUCGCACCAGUGGGGAAUAUUGCACAAUGGGCGCAAGCCUGAUGCAGCCAUGCCGCGUGUGUGAAGAAGGCCUUCGGGUUGUAAAGCACUUUCAGCGGGGAGGGAGGCGAUAAGGUUAAUAACCUUGUCGAUUGACGUUACCCGCAGAAGAAGCACCGGCUAACUCCGUGCCAGCAGCCGCGGUUAUACGGAGGGUGCAAGCGUUAAUCGGAAUUACUGGGCGUAAAGCGCACGCAGGCGGUCUGUCAAGUCGGAUGUGAAAUCCCCGGGCUCAACCUGGGAACUGCAUUCGAAACUGGCAGGCUAGAGUCUUGUAGAGGGGGGUAGAAUUCCAGGUGUAGCGGUGAAAUGCGUAGAGAUCUGGAGGAAUACCGGUGGCGAAGGCGGCCCCCUGAACAAAGACUGACGCUCAGGUGCGAAAGCGUGGGGAGCAAACAGGAUUAGACACCCCCGUAGUC
rnacentral:rRNA from 1 species